CGACGCCCGUGGUUCCCUACUGAAAGGGGCGGAGCCUGGACUGGGGGGCAGGCUCAGAUUCAGGUUAAAUUGCGGAUUGAGCUCGCAGUUACAGACAGCUGACCAUGGAAGCGAACGGGUUAGGCCUCCAGCCUAGCAUACUGACACCUACCCCCACCCCAACCUGAUCGCCAGACCUCAGGGUUUUCCAGAGCUGAAGAAUGACACAUUCCUGCGAGCAGCCUGGGGAGAGGAAACAGACUACACUCCCGUUUGGUGCAUGCGCCAGGCAGGCCGUUACUUACCAGAGUUUAGGGAAACCCGGGCUGCCCAGGACUUUUUCAGCACGUGUCGCUCUCCUGAGGCCUGCUGUGAACUGACUCUGCAGGUGAGGGGUCCACAAAAGAGGGAAAGAUUUAUGCCUUCAGUCUUCCACCUAGCAACCUGUCUCCUGUUUCCUACAGCCACUGCGUCGCUUCCCUCUGGAUGCUGCCAUCAUUUUCUCCGACAUCCUUGUUGUACCCCAGGCACUGGGCAUGGAGGUGACCAUGGUACCUGGCAAAGGACCCAGCUUCCCAGAGCCAUUAAGAGAAGAGCAGGACCUAGAAUGCCUACGGGAUCCAGAAGUGGUAGCCUCUGAGCUAGACUAUGUGUUCCAAGCCAUCACCCUUACCCGACAACGACUGGCUGGACGUGUGCCGCUGAUUGGCUUUGCUGGUGCCCCAUGGACCCUGAUGACAUACAUGGUUGAGGGUGGUGGCUCAAGCACCAUG
rnacentral:sRNA from 1 species